GCGCAUCCCUAACCGGUGCAACCCGCGCCCUCCUGUUGCUGGAAAAGGCAGUUUCCCUUGCUGGAGGGGGCUGCCGACCCCUCCCCCUCCGCCUGGGCCUCACGCCAGUUUGGAGGUGAGCGAGGGAGGAGGGAGGAGGCAGCUCCUACUGGGGCUGGGCGUUGGCAAGGACAGCGGGUGGUGUGGGUCUCCUCGCGUCUCCGGAUUUGACGGGAUCAUAGCGGAAAGACGACCGAUGGAAAAGUUCUACAAUAGUAACAGCUUAUGUGGUGUACUAGAGUCAGGUGGAGAGAGCCUGGCACCUUGGAGCUUUUCUUUAAGCCUGUCUAGUAGACAGGCGCUCCUGGGUCUGGGCUUCCCUUGCAUGGCACGCAGCGGUGUCGUGUGUUAUUCUUGGCUCUUUAUCCCGUUCUGUCCCAGCCA
rnacentral:lncRNA from 1 species